AGUCACUGGAUAAGGAGGCUAGAAACAAUCUUACACCAUUGAAAUUAAGAGCAAAGGCUGCUAAGUUUGCCAAAUACACUGUUAAAAAUCAGAUGUCAUCUUUUAAGCGCUUUGGAGUAUGGGCCGACUGGAAUAAUCCCUAUCUUACUCUAGAUCCGGAAUAUGAAGCUGCUCAGGUAGCUGAUCGAAGUAUUUGGCCAGAUGGCUUUGAAAGGCUAUAUCUACCGAGGGAGGAAACCUGUUCACUGGAGUCCCUCGUCACAGACAGCACUUGCUGAAGCUGAGUUGGAGUACCCUGAAGGUCAUGUUUCAAAAAGCAUAUAUGCCAUUUUCAGAGUUGCAAGUGCUCCUGUAAUGCCGAGUGACCUUCUACAAGAAUUCCCAAAUUUGUGUUUGGCCAUUUGGACCACCACUCCAUGGACUAUUCCUGC